CAACUACUCCCUCUGUCCCAAAUUUCUUGUCUUAGAUUUGUCUAUAUACGGAUGUAUCUAAUACUAAAAUGUGACUUGAUACAUCCGUAUCUAGACAAAUCUAAGACAAGAAUUUUGGGACGGAGGGAGUACUAU
rnacentral:pre_miRNA from 1 species